GUUGAACCGGUGGGCGAGACUGUGUAGUUCCAGCGUGAGGAUCCUGUGGAUUGAUAGGUGGGAAGUUUCCCAUAUUGAACCUGGGAACAUUGUUCUGGAACUGAUGUCGAAACCAUGGACAGGGUUGCGUAGCUCUGGCUUGGUGAACCUGUGGACGAACUGGGGGGUAAUUUCCUAUAUUGAACACUGGGGCACUAGCAGAUCCAGAUGGGUUAAUGAUAAAUUGCGAUAUUUGAG
rnacentral:misc_RNA from 1 species